UAUGAUUUUGAUGAGGUAUUGAGUUGGAAAAGCAAAUCAUAGCCCCAGAGAUGCCCAAAGAAUAAGCAGCUCCCUUGUCCAUUGCUGGUGCUGGGGCUGGUGCAAAUUCUUGAGCAUCAACACUAGCAAAGAACAUUGCCACAACCAAAAAGAAAGAAACCAAAGCCUUGAAUGAGCUCAUUUGUGCCAUAGAGACAGAAAGAUUUGUAGCAAGAUUUGAAAUAUGUUAAAGAAGAGAG
rnacentral:misc_RNA from 1 species